AGGAAUGUAUAGCAUUAGCUAGUUGCAUCAUUGUAWAGAUGAUGCAAUAUUGACUAUGUUGAAUAAAAUUCUAGGUAGAAUUAUGAUAAUGACAUUGUCUGCCUAUGUGUCUUGACCAAAUUACGUGCCAGCAGUCGCGGUAAUACGUAGAAGACUAGUGUUAUUCAUGUUUAAUCGGUUUAAAGGGUACCUAGACGGCAGAUCAAGCUUUCCGAGCAGAAAAAAAGUAAAAAGGACUAAUUUGCUAGAGUUACUUACGAGGGGGUUUUAAAGUACUGCUGGUGUAGAGAUGAAAUUCUUUAAUACCUAUUUUCGAAAGAAUUAUAAUGGCACAGGUAUAGGCGAAGGCAUCCCCUUAUGUGAUAACUGACGUUGAGGGACGAAGGCUUUAUACAACGAACGGGAUUAGAUACCCCAUUAGUGGAAGCAGUAAAUGAUGAAUGUCAUAGAUUAGUAGAUAGGUUCAUUCUAUAAAUGAAAGUGUAAGCAUUCCACCUCAUGAGUAAUAUGGCAACAUUGGAAUUGAAAUCAUUAGACCGUAUCUGAAACCAGUAGUGAAGUAUGUUGUUUAAUUUGAUGAUCCGCAAAAAACCUUACCACAAUUUGAAUAUUUAUAUUUUUUUUUUUUGUCAUUAAUUUUCUUCUAAAGUGGAAAGAAAUUAAUAAAGAGGCAAUAAGAUAUAUUUACAAGCGUUGCACGGCUGUCUUCAGUUAAUGUCGCGAGAUUUUGGUUAGAUCCAUAAAAUUAACGUAAACCCUUACUUUAUUUUU
rnacentral:rRNA from 1 species